AGAGUUUGAUCCUGGCUCAGAACGAACGCUGGCGGCAGGCUUAACACAUGCAAGUUGAACGGGAUUUGUAUGGUGCUUGCACCAUGUAAUGAGAGUAGCGCACUGGUGAGUAACACGUGGGAACAUACCUUGAAGUGGGGGACAACAGUUGGAAACGACUGCUAAUACCGCAUAAUCCCUGAGGGGGAAAGAUUUAUCGCUUUAAGAUUGGCCCGCGGAAGAUUAGGUAGUUGGUGGGGUAAAGGCCUACCAAGCCGACGAUCUAUAGCUGGUCUGAGAGGACGAACAGCCACAUUGGAACUGAGACACGGUCCAGACUCCUACGGGAGGCAGCAGUGAGGAAUAUUGGGCAAUGGAGGAAACUCUGACCCAGCCAUGCCGCGUGAGUGAAGAAGGUUUUCGAAUUGUAAAGCUCUUUCGGAUGGGACGAUGAUGACGGUACCAUCUAAAGAAGCCCCGGCAAACUUCGUGCCAGCAGCCGCGGUAAUACGAAGGGGGCAAGCGUUGUUCGGAAUUACUGGGCGUAAAGGGUGUGUAGGCGGAUUUGUAAGAUAGUGGUGAAAUACCUGAGCUCAACUUAGGAAUUGCCAUUAUAACUAUAGAUCUGGAGUGACAGAGAGGAUAUUGGAAUACCCAGUGUAGAGGUGAAAUUCGUAGAUAUUGGGUAGAACACCAGUGGCGAAGGCGAGUAUCUGGCUGUCAACUGACGCUGAGGCACGAAAGCAUGGGGAUCAAACAGGAUUAGAUACCCUGGUAGUCCAUGCUGUAAACGAUGAAUGCUAGUUGUCGGCAAAAGCCGGUGACGCAGUUAACGCGAUAAGCAUUCCGCCUGGGGAGUACGGUCGCAAGAUUAAAACUCAAAGGAAUUGACGGGGACCCGCACAAGCGGUGGAUGAUGUGGAUUAAUUCGAUGCAACGCGAAAAACCUUACCCAGCCUUGACAUGUCAGGAAUGCUUCGGAGAUGAGGCAGUGCCCGCAAGGGAACCUGAGCACAGGUGCUGCAUGGCUGUCGUCAGCUCGUGUCGUGAGAUGUUGGGUUAAGUCCCGCAA
rnacentral:rRNA from 1 species